GUGCUCUACACCUCUUCAUGCUUUCAAGCAAAGGUGAACAGAUCCAUCUGUUCCUUUUUCCUUCAUAAUUCAGGUCUGAAGCUGAUGGAGCGAGCAAGAAAGUGAGCACAGAGGGUGAGACAUGAACUUCGCGUUGAUGACAUCUAGAAGAGCCACAGCAGCUUUAAGAUAAGAGAGAAGAUGCCCCUGAACUUUGAAGUCUGGUGAAAGACAUGCGCUAGGCAGCACAUGAUACAGAGAGUCAUGUAUGUCAUCUGUUUUGGACUCUGGGACAAGAUAGCCAGGCUGUAGUCUAGAAGAGAUUAAGACCCUGAAGGAAGGUGAAGGAGUUUGUUGACCUUUUCAAUCUGCUUCCGAGAGGGUGCCCAGUCAGGAAGGACACUGCUUUGCUGGUACUCCAAACCCCACAGAGAAGGUACAAUGGAAGAGCAGGCAAGAAAACAGAAGUAAUGCUACAUGACUUGUCAUUUUAUGAAUUGGCUGAGUACCUUUUUAAGUUCCAGUGGACCAUUAAGUAGUGUGAGUCUUGUUCAAGUGGUUUUUCAGUAAAUGCAACCUGUAUGCAACCCAAGCAAGAUUUUGUAGGCAAGGUGCUGACUUGGUCACACACCAGGAAUCAGCGUGUGCUGGUAGCCAUGGGAGCACAAAUAACAAGACAGCAAAAACAGCAGCUGGCUGGGAAGCGUUGGAGGAGACUACACUGGCAUGAUGUACCAGAGCCUCCUGGGGAAGCUGGACCCCAGGAGGAGGCAUAAGGCAUGCAAGAAAUGAAGAACUCCAAGGGUGGAAGAGCUUGAUCUUAGCAGAAAGGAGAAGCUGAUAAAGCAGUGUGGACAGUGUGGAGCAAAGCAAUGUUUUUCAAGAAGUUCAGACAGAGGCAUGAUAUAUAUGAGAACAGUAAA